GAUGGUGACUGAGGGAGGGAGGGGCAGAUUCAUCCUCCACAGGCUCAGGGUUGGCUUGCAAUGGUAAAUAGGACACCUCGUUUAAAGGAGCAGUGCACCUAACCCUUUCUCUGUGAGGGUCCAGUGAGAAGGACAGGACCCUGCAGGAGGACGAUUUUAGAGUGAAUUUGGGGCUGCAAAGGUGCUAAACUCAGCCUCCAAGGAGGAUCCAAGUUGGGCAAAGCCAGGGUGAAGUUUGAGGGCUGCUGGGGUCAGAGCUCUGGACCAAAGCUGCACAGCCACAGGACCCCAAGGAUAACAGGCUGAUGGGGACUGAACUCUUACUGGCCUGGGGGAACCCCAAAACGCGGCCAAGUGUGAUCAGACGUCUGCAGACAAACAAGACAUUGUAACUGACUGUUCUAUUCCUUGGGAGCCUGUUGGCAGAAUGCCAGCGUAACCACAGAGUGACUGUAUGUACACCAGCCCCGGACAAGCCAAGAGAUCAUCCUUUCUGGAGAAGAGGAAAACAAUGGAUGUUCUGUUACUCUGACUCCCUUUAUUGUUAUUAUUUGUUGUUUGUUUCCGGUAGUGCCCAGACUGCCCUGGGCACUGGAUGUGAGGUACAAUAGCCUCUCUCUCUUCCAAGUGCAUUAUACUGUUUGCCUGAUAGCAAACACUGCAAUUAAGGUUGCAAAAGAAUUUCAUUGAUAGCCCCCUGAUUUCACAUGCACAUAAUAAAAUGUAAAUCAAUCGUCUCUGGAGCUCAAGCUGUGCUGAGGAAGUACCUGCAUGGAGCAGUCUUUCUACUGGAGUUGGGGGAGGGAGAGGGGAUGGGAGCAGGAGACAAGGGUCUCUGCAUCUUCCCCCUCUGCAUACCAGUUCAACGCCAGCUAUAAUCUAGCCCUCGAGAUGGGUCUAGUGCAUAAGAAGUGUGAGCGCUCAGCACCUCCUAAGCAUGCACCUUCCCAGUGCAUGUCAGUAAACAGCAGUUGGCCUUAAGAACUUAAACAGAUUUAAGUUCUUUUUCAUAAGCAUAAACUUGGCAGUGUGUUAUUAAGAUGUCCUAAAUCUUUAGACACUUAAUUCACUCUAUGUCAUUGUGGGACCUUACAGUGCUGUAAGCACUUCUGCUGCUCUAAUGGCUUUUUCUUCCUACUUUCACAUGCUUACCCCUCUCUAUAAAAACUCUUAGGAAAUUAAAAGCAAAAAAAAAA